GCGGGGGCGAAGCCGUCGCCAAGCGCCGGUUGCCCUGGAGAGCGUCGCCAGGUGCUGAGCGCAGCUGGCGUGUCUUCCAGCGCUGGAGAUUGGGGAGCGCGCCCGCCACUCCCGGCCCCAACGCGUUCCUUCUUCCUCUUUGCAGUGGGUCCUUGGGUUUCUGCUGUACGCUCGGAAUCGCUCGCCCACGCUCCGGGAGGGCAGCGAGGGUGCCAUUUUUGUCUGCUUCCUCUCCCACUGCUUUUGUUGAAGGAACCAGUAAAGAAGAUUUCCUUACAAGGAUCCUUGGGGACAACUUUGUCCCCAUUGAGCUGUGGAUUUGAAGAGAAGAAUGAAGCCAUAAAGAGGAAAAACCAGCCUCUAUACUGGGGAUCGAACUCAGGACCUUACACUUGCAAGAGGCAAAGCCCAGUCUCUCACCCCAGGCUCACAAGGGACCUGAGCAGGGGGUUCCCAGCUGAUCCACCUGGAUUCUGACCCAUGGAGUAUGAAAGACAAUUCAGGAACAGCGCCCCAAGCCCAGUCUUGGAGAUUCAGUCAAGGUCUCGGCAGCCCCUGGUCCAUGAGAGUGUCACAUUAUUUACUGUACAGCCUCGUCCCCCGGACACCUGUGAGAUCAGGCUCCUUUCUGCAUCUCGUUCUGCCCAGCAGCUGAGACAGGCACAGCCCCACUCAUCCUCUCACCACCCUGCCCAGCAGUGAGGAGCCCCAUUGUUCAGGAAGAGAACUGUCACAUUGCUUUGUUCCUUCUUCUGGAGCACAACAAUAGUUCAUUCUGUGUGGUAAGAGAGAAAAAUGGUCCAAAUUGGCAUUUUCCCAACAACUCUGUCACCUCCUGGACGCCAAGUCUAGUGGGGAGAUGGCAGGAAGAUGGAGACCCGUACCCUGGUGCCCACCUUUGUCCAACCUGUUGGGAAGUGACCAUGAGAACUGAUCCGUAGAAUAAAGGGAUGACAGCAGAGGUGAUGGUGCAAAUGGAUGCGGCCACAGGUGCGUCCUUGGCUUUUAGACCAAGCGCUAUUGAAGCCAUCCUUUGUCACUCAGAAACAUUGAUUGCUUGUUGUUACAUUUCUUCAGCUUUGUUGUGUUAAAAAUCCAGGUCUCUAUCAAAAACAUUAUUUGAAGCAAAUAAUUUCCUUGAGGAAAAAGUCAAGGAUUACUGUGAAAAAUAAAGUGACUUGAGGAAGGGACACUGGAGGAAUGAGGUAUCGGGUUGCAGAAGUCCAUCCUGCCGAAGAAACAUGAGAGUCAAAGGGUGAAGGUGAGUGGCCAAAGGUCAACAAAGGGAAACAGCUGAGGUCUCCAGGACACUCAGUGGUGUCUCAGUGUUCUGCCUCUGCGCUCACGGACUCUGUGGCUGAAAACACAGAAUCCUGCACCACUGUGUGGCCACUGGGACCAUUAGAGCACAUGGACCUCGUCCUUAGAGAAGGGUGGCUAUUCAGGCCCUGUGAGAUCCCCAAAUCUUACUGAGGCCAGGCUGGACAGCUGGCUUUGGUCAGCAAAGCCCAGAGGCCUGCGGCAAUGCCCUGGUCCAUCGGAGGUGUCAGGUGGGGCAGAUAUAGAUGCCCCAAGUCCACAGAGGAAGCCUGAGGAGGGGUGCUGAGAGGGUAGGGCUUUGAAAAGCUCCUACAUGUGCCAGGGAGUGUGGGUGGCAUGGUGUGCCCAGGGCUGGACACACACUCAUGAAAGACCUCAGGGGACCCUAAGCUGGCAUCGCUGGUGGGGACAGCAGAGAGCAACAGCCAAGUCAAAGCUGUGACCAUCCCGAGGGUGAUUCAAAGGCUUGUGCAACAAAGAAUGUAAAAGAAGGGCAUGGUGGUGCAGGCCUGUAAUUCCAGCACUGAGGAGCCUGAGGCAAAAGGACUGCCAUAAGUUCAAGGCCAGCCUGAACUACACAGCAAGACCUGUCUCAAAGAAAAAAAAAAAAUCCAAAGAAUGUAAAAGAAAUGUCCUACACAUGUGUACUAAUAAAG